rnacentral:tRNA from 1 species
AGAGAAUUAUUUUAAUUUUAGAAUUUUUGACUCUUAAUCAAAAGGUUUGUUCUUUAG